AAAAAAAGCACUGCUACGGAUUCUAGAUGGAACAAAAUUUAGGCUCUUGUGAUCUAGAUUCUAUUUUUUUUCAUGAAAAUCACGAAAAUAUUUGUGGAGGACAUUUAGAUCUAGUAAAUCUACUAUUGUUACGAGUGUAUAUAAUAUUAACAAAUUUGAUAAUAAUUAUCAGUUAGAAACAUAGAAUCUAGGUCCUUACAACUUAUGUAGUCUAUAAUGCCCCUCGGAAAGAUGUUUCUGCUCUGUCGUCAUAACACGUGCGAUGACGUAGAUAAAAAUGACGUCAUCCGACUCAGCGCUUUCGACUGCAGAUCUUCACCGCCGCCAUUUGUGAUAUAAUACAGCUAAGCCUAAGACCUCUAACUAGAUCAAUGAGUAUGUGUGCUGUGCUGUGCUGUGCUUAGAUAUUGUUAUGAAGUAAUUCAAACUGAUGUUGUACAACUACAGGACUUUCAAUCUCAGUCAAGUUGAGGGGUCAGUUGCACGAAUGGUAACUGUAAUUCAAACUGAUCACUGGAAAAAGUGCCGCUGUGUGGGAAUCAAUUGUAGUUUCUCCGGAAAAGAUGUUACAGCCAGUGUAUGAAGACUGAACUUUUGGUACGGUCACAGGUGCUCUUGCAAAGACUGAUGGCCUGGCAGCAUAAACUAUUCUAUGGUUAUAGGGGUAAUGUCUUUAAACAGAAGCAUGCUGUUGUGGAGUGAAAGUGCACAAACCAUUGAUAACCCUUUGGAGAAUAAGUACCAGAUUUUAGAUUUCUUUUCAAAUGUUUGCCAUUCUGAAGGGCUUUUUUUGACUGAGCAGUGUCAAACAGUCUUCGGAUACUAGAGAAUCAGUUCCUCCAAAUGAAAAAAUCACCACAGUCAUAAAAAUUAUGGGCAGAGAUACUUCAUGGAAGAGAGAUAACAUGACAAUACAAAAAUAGGGAGUCGUGCACCAUGUAAACAGUGAUGUUGAAAAGUUCUGAUGAGCCUGCUAUCUUACAGUCGAGGCAAGUCAAAAAGAGCGAACAGGAGUUAGAAAUUUUGUCUGACAUGGACUUACCUACUAUAAUAUGUGUGGCAAGAAGUUUGAAAUCAAAGUCACAAGAAGUUGUUUGAUGAUGGAAGUAUCUGUGAUCAUUUAGUAUUUCCAGUGGUUCAGAGGAACAGAUUACACUCAGUUAAAACUAAAUGUGAUAUUUAUCUAUUUGUGAAUGAACGAGGACUUAAUGAGGAUAAAAUGUUAAGAAGACAAACCUGAUGCAGCAACAAUUUUGUGACAGUAUCAGUGUAAUAUUUAACCAUAUACAACUGUUUUGCAUUAUAAAUGCAGUAAAAGGUAAUACAAUGUUAAAACUGCUUUACACUUUCUAUGCGAGGGAAUAUGUUGUAUAUGGUCACUAUAGAGGUUUUUCCAUUUGACGAGAUAAUAUUGUGGGUAACCGGUGAAGAAUAUAUUGACCAAAUCUGUCAUGUUGACCAUAAUGUUCCAUGCAACCUUUAUUGUACAAAAAGUAGAUUUGUUAUAGCACCAAAUAAUAGUGAGAUUGGAAGGCCAGUGUGCAAACCACUGAGCUAUCCGCCCACCACCAUUAGAUAUAUUAAGGGAAAAAUCGUCAUCUCGGCGCAAAAACUGUAUGCAUGUUUGUACUUCUUUACUUCAAUGGGCCCACAUUUGGCGCUGAGGUGACAUUAUAAUUCCAAAAAAAAAACUAAUACCUCCUCAUCGGUAACACUACUUAUUUACGUGGCUUACAGUUAAGCAUGAUAAAAAAUAUGGAAUAAAAAUCUUGAUAAAAUUUAUUGUACUUAGGUUUUCCGAGUCUGAAUAAACCAUACCACAGAAGACUGUAUUUAUUAGAUGUAAAUUGGUUUCUUCCGACAUCCCUGCCUAAGUACCUGUAGCGAUAACUCACAACAUGGUUUUGUUACAAGUCGGGGAAGGGACCCAGGGCUGUGAUCUGGGAAAAAAAAUAGCUCGGUAUUAUGUUAAGGUAGUUCUGCACGUUUGAUAAACCGGAAGUGAUGGCGUAACGUCAUUUAUCCAGAAAACGUAGAAUAAAGC
rnacentral:lncRNA from 1 species